rnacentral:misc_RNA from 1 species
UGCGCAUCACCUCUUGCUUGUCUAGAUCAGCCCGGACGUUGGCAUGUGUAGCGUAUUUUGUCGGGUUUCGAGAUCAAGAAUCGAUGUCCCUUUGUUGGUUGGUUUUCCGAGAAUCCUUGACCCUUGAUUAAGUUGGCCACCCUGGCAUCUUUGUCGGGUUCCGAGAUCAAGAAUCGAUGUCCCUUUGUUGGUUGGUUUUCCGAGAAUCCUUGUCCCUUGAUUACGUUGGCCACCCGGGAAAAUGCGCCUCACUUGCUAGCACGUCUAGAUCAGCCAGGGCGUAGGCAUGUGUAUCGUAUUUUGUCGGGUUUCGAGAUCAAGAAUCGAUGUCCCUUUGUUGGUUGGUUUUCCGAGAAUCCUUGACCCUUGAUUUGUUACUUUCGCAUCGUUCGGUGCAUUCUGGGGGAUGUUUUGGCUUUUGGUGGCUUACUUGGCCUUUUGGCUGGGUUUGUUACUAUUGGUCGGGCGGCUUUCGGGAAUGUCGACCGUGGAGGUGCAUGAGUGGUGUUUGGUUUGUUACGUGUGGAUGGCUGUUUGCUUGCGCAACAACGUUCACGCUGCAUACCUCUUCAGUUUUGCGGCAAGGCUUGGUUUGGCUUGUGCAUAUUGUGGGUUUCCUGUGUUGCAUACCUAGUUGAAGGAAAAGUGUGGGUUUUACGAUUUUCGUCUUCGUCUUGCGUCGUUCUUUCGGCAUGGGAUGAGCAUUGAAGCGAUCUUUAUGAUCCAUCGUGCUGUUGUGUUUGCAACAAUGAUGUGGCCUAUGAAGCAUCGUUUGGUCUCUUGUAUACGGAAGCUCAUUUGGGCUUGGGUCUUUAUAAGAUCUUUGUUAUGCCCUUGUUAAGCGUUCUUGCUUCUCCUAAAUGAUUG